rnacentral:misc_RNA from 1 species
UCCGAGUUGACCCCGGCAGUCUCCCAUGAGUCCCCACCAUCACGUGCUGGCAACACAGGACAAGGGUUGCGCUCGUUGCGGGACUUAACCCAACAUCUCACGACACGAGCUGACGACAACCAUGCACCACCUGUAACCCGGCCCGUAAAGGCACACCCAUCUCUGAAUGCUUCCAGGUUAUGUCAAGCCUUGGUAAGGUUCUUCGCGUUGCGUCGAAUUAAUCCGCAUGCUCCGCCGCUUGUGCGGGCCCCCGUCAAUUCCUUUGAGUUUUAGCCUUGCGGCCGUACUCCCCAGGCGGGGCACUUAAUGCGUUAGCUACGGCGCGGACUCCGUGGAAACAGACCCCACACCUAGUGCCCAACGUUUACGGCAUGGACUAC